rnacentral:rRNA from 1 species
UACGUAGGGUGCAAGCGUUGUCCGGAAUUAUUGGGCGUAAAGAGCUCGUAGGCGGUUUGUUGCGUCGGCUGUGAAGUCCCGAGGCUCAACCUCGGGUCUGCAGUCGAUACGAGCAAACUAGAGUGUUGCAGGGGAGACUGGAAUUCCUGGUGUAGCGGUGAAAUGCGCAGAUAUCAGGAGGAACACCGGUGGCGAAGGCGGUUCUCUGGGCAUUACCUGACGCUGAGGAGCGAAAGUGUGGGGAGCGAACAGG